rnacentral:rRNA from 1 species
UGGGGAAUAUUGCACAAUGGGCGCAAGCCUGAUGCAGCCAUGCCGCGUGUGUGAAGAAGGCCUUCGGGUUGUAAAGCACUUUCAGCGAGGAGGAAGGUGGUGAGCUUAAUACGCUCAUCAAUUGACGUUACUCGCAGAAGAAGCACCGGCUAACUCAGUGCCAGCAGCCGCGGUAAUACGGAGGGUGCAAGCGUUAAUCGGAAUUACUGGGCGUAAAGCGCACGCAGGCGGUUUGUUAAGUCAGAUGUGAAAUCCCCGGGCUCAACCUGGGAACUGCAUUUGAAACUGGCAAGCUAGAGUCUCGUAGAGGGGGGUAGAAUUCCAGGUGUAGCGGUGAAAUGCGUAGAGAUCUGGAGGAAUACCGGUGGCGAAGGCGGCCCCCUGGACGAAGACUGACGCUCAGGUGCGAAAGCGUGGGGCAGCAAACAGGAUUAGAUACCCUGGUAGUCCACGCUGUAAAACGAUGUCGAUUUUGGAGGUUGUGCCCUUGAGGCGUGGCUUCCGGAGCUAACGCGUUAAAUCGAACCGCCUGGGGGAGUACGGCCGCAAGGUU